UACGAAGGGGGCUAGCGUUGUUCGGAAUUACUGGGCGUAAAGGGCUCGUAGGUGGCCAACUAAGUCAGACGUGAAAUCCCUCAGCUUAACUGGGGAACUGCGUCUGAUACUGGAUGGCUUGAGAUUGGGAGAGGGAUGCGGAAUUCCAGGUGUAGCGGUGAAAUGCGUAGAUAUCUGGAGGAACACCGGUGGCGAAGGCGGCAUCCUGGACCAACACUGACACUGAGGAGCGAAAGCCAGGGGAGCAAACGGG
rnacentral:rRNA from 1 species